AUACUAAACUAGAAUGCCUGGUCACAUUUCAAGAGGAAAAUGUAUUAUCAAUUGAUUUCAUUCAAGUUACGAGGUUAAUCAAUUCCCAAUUGCCAGAGAUUUAUCCCUAAAGCGGGGUUCUAUCAUACUUAAUGGGAAGAUCAGAUGAAGCUGAGUGGUUGAAGAUCCAGUCACAGUAGUUCAAUCACCUCUCCCAUGUGUUUUUUUUUUAGGGUUUUCUCUUAGCAAGUCACUUCUCUCUAAUGGAGUUGUCCAGUCCACUCUUGCCUCCCUAAAUAAUUUUUUCCAUAAGAACCAGCUAUGAGAAUGAGAAGUAUCAACCUAAAUUGGCAGCUAUGCAAACAAACAUGCACUGAGGACAACCGACAACAGUGGAUGACUUCUUAUUUUCCAAAGGUGGAGUGUAAUUUGUGUUUGUUCUUGUUCCCUUUAUCACUUCCUUCUAGUUAAUUAACUUAUCGGUUAUCCUCAUGUCUUAUGCCCUAUUAUUUCUUUUCCUUUGUAAGUACUAGUUUUGUGAUGGGGAAGUUCAUCCUCUAGUAUAAACAAAGAAGGCAUUGAUAAGGAUGAACAUUUUUUUUCUUAUUUUGGGUUGAGGGAGAGAUGUUCAAUGGCAAUUA